GAUGAACGCUGGCGGCGUGCUUAACACAUGCAAGUCGAACGAUGAAGCCCAGCUUGCUGGGUGGAUUAGUGGCGAACGGGUGAGUAACACGUGAGUAACCUGCCCUUAACUCUGGGAUAAGCCUGGGAAACUGGGUCUAAUACCGGAUAGGAGCGUCCACCGCAUGGUGGGUGUUGGAAAGAUUUAUCGGUUUUGGAUGGACUCGCGGCCUAUCAGCUUGUUGGUGAGGUAAUGGCUCACCAAGGCGACGACGGGUAGCCGGCCUGAGAGGGUGACCGGCCACACUGGGACUGAGACACGGCCCAGACUCCUACGGGAGGCAGCAGUGGGGAAUAUUGCACAAUGGGCGAAAGCCUGAUGCAGCGACGCCUCGUGAGGGAUGACGGCCUUCGGGUUGUAAACCUCUUUCAUUAUGGAAGAAGCGAAAGUGACGGUACCUGCAGAAGAAGCACCGGUUAAUUACUUGCCAUCAGCCGCUUGCAAUACGUAUGGUGCGAGCGUUAUCCGGAAUUACUGGGCGUAAAGAGUCUCGUAGGCGGUUUGUCGCGUCUGUCGUGAAAGUCCGGGGCUCAACCCCGGAUCUGCGGUGGGUACGGGCAGACUAGAGUGCAGUAGGGGAGACUGGAAUUCCUGGUGUAGCGGUGGAAUGCGCAGAUAUCAGGAGGAACACCGAUGGCGAAGGCAGGUCUCUGGGCUGUAACUGACGCUGAGGAGCGAAAGCAUGGGGAGCGAACAGGAUUAGAUACCCUGGUAGUCCAUGCCGUAAACGUUGGGCACUAGGUGUGGGGACCGUUCCACGGUUUCCGCGCCGCAGCUAACGCAUUAAGUGCCCCGCCUGGGGAGUACGGCCGCAAGGCUAAAACUCAAAGGAAUUGACGGGGGCCCGCACAAGCGGCGGAGCAUGCGGAUUAAUUCGAUGCAACGCGAAGAACCUUACCAAGGCUUGACAUGUUCUCGAUCGCCGUAGAGAUACGGUUUCCCCUUUGGGGCGGGUUCACAGGUGGUGCAUGGUUGUCGUCAGCUCGUGUCGUGAGAUGUUGGGUUAAGUCCCGCAACGAGCGCAACCCUCGUUCCAUGUUGCCAGCACGUAAUGGUGGGGACUCAUGGGAGACUGCCGGGGUCAACUCGGAGGAAGGUGAGGACGACGUCAAAUCAUCAUGCCCCUUAUGUCUUGGGCUUCACGCAUGCUACAAUGGCCGGUACAAUGGGUUGCGAUACUGUGAGGUGGAGCUAAUCCCAAAAAGCCGGUCUCAGUUCGGAUUGGGGUCUGCAACUCGACCCCAUGAAGUCGGAGUCGCUAGUAAUCGCAGAUCAGCAACGCUGCGGUGAAUACGUUCCCGGGCCU
rnacentral:rRNA from 1 species